UUUAGGCCAUUUCUGAGAAUUCGUCUCAACACUCUUUGAAGCAUUAGAAUGCAGGAAUAGAUACUUGAUGGCUAUGACUCUUGUCACCUCCCGGAUCUGGGUUGAAUUGGAAAUAUCUUACAGAUCCAAAGCUACUCAGAUAGAGAAAAAAGCCUUUAAAAAUAAAAGAAGAAGAAGAAGAAGAGAGAGAGAGAGAAAUCUGACAUGAAACUGGUCUUCGAUCGAAAAGAACAAUAAAAC
rnacentral:lncRNA from 1 species